rnacentral:rRNA from 1 species
UACGUAGGGGGCAAGCGUUGUCCGGAUUUAUUGGGCGUAAAGAGCUCGUAGGCGGUUCCGUAAGUCGAGUGUGAAAAAUCUGGGCUCAACCCAGUGGAGCACUCGAUACUGCGGUGACUAGAGUACGGUAGAGGAGUGUGGAAUUCCUGGUGUAGCGGUGAAAUGCGCAGAUAUCAGGAGGAACACCAGUGGCGAAGGCGGCUCACUGGCCCGUUACCGACGCUCAGGCGCGACAGCGUGGGGAGCAAACAGG